UACGUAGGGUGCAAGCGUUAAUCGGAAUUACUGGGCGUAAAGCGUGCGCAGGCGGUUGUGCAAGACCGAUGUGAAAGCCCCGGGCUUAACCUGGGAACGGCAUUGGUGACUGCACGGCUAGAGUGUGUCAGAGGGGGGUAGAAUUCCACGUGUAGCAGUGAAAUGCGUAGAGAUGUGGACGGAAUACCGAUGGCGAAGGCAGCCCCUGGAUGACACUGACGCUCGAUGCACGAAAGCGUGGGAGCAAACAGG
rnacentral:rRNA from 1 species